AUUGAACGCUGGCGGCAGGCCUAACACAUGCAAGUCGAACGAGUGGCGGACGGGUGAGUAAUGUCUGGGAAACUGCCCGAUGGAGGGGGAUAACUACUGGAAACGGUAGCUAAUACCGCAUACCAUCGGAUGUGCCCAGAUGGGAUUAGCUCGGAGGUGGGGUAACGGCUCACCUAGGCGACGAUCCCUAGCUGGUCUGAGAGGAUGACAAGGCACAAUGGAAAUGAGACACGGUCCAGACUCCGACGGGAGGCAGCAGGGGGGAAUAUUGAACAAUGGGCGGAAGCCUGAUGCAGCCAUGCCGCGUGUAUGAAGAAGGCCUGCGGGUUGUAAAGUACUUUCAGCGGGGAGGCGUUACCCGCAGAAGAAGCACCGGCUAACUCCGUGCCAGCAGCCGCGGUAAAC
rnacentral:rRNA from 1 species